UACGUAGGGUGCGAGCGUUAAUCGGAAUUACUGGGCGUAAAGCGUGCGCAGGCGGUUCGUUGUGUCGGCGGUGAAAGCCCCGGGCUUAACCUGGGAAUGGCCGUUGAAACUGGCGAACUGGAGUGUGGCAGAGGGGGGUGGAAUUCCGCGUGUAGCAGUGAAAUGCGUAGAGAUGCGGAGGAACACCGAUGGCGAAGGCAGCCCCCUGGGCUGAAACUGACGCUCAGGCACGAAAGCGUGGGGAGCAAACAGG
rnacentral:rRNA from 1 species